GCUGCUUUUCGUACAGAGGAUAUGGUAUGAUGCAAGAAUGGCCACACACGUGGAACCAACACUGUGAGCGACUGCUGAAUACUAGUACAUGAAGGAGCGAUGGAGAGGCAGUGAGAAGAGGAAAAAAUGAAAACACAGUAGAUACACGGCACAGAUCGCAGCAUGCCCAGGGGAUAAGUAACUGACAGCUCUGCAGCCAGCAUGCCUUCCUAUCUAUGGCACCAUUUCAGGUGGUGCAGAAACUGGAAUCUGGACUGGAAAUAUCACAGAAAAAAUGCUGAAAUCCAUGAGGCACUGUGCAGUAUGAGGUCUCUACUGAAUGUUCUUAUGGAAAGCAUUACAAAAAGUUCCCCAAUACAUAGAAGGCUGAUAGAGAUGUGAGCAGAACAAGAUAAGGGGAUACUUUGAAGAAACUCCUAAGCCCCAACUAACGCACCUGCUAUCGAAGCCUUAAAAGACACAGUGCUACUGAGAAGUCUGAUUUAUAACACAUUUGAUUUAUAAGCACACACACCUUUACUCUGCUAAGCAGAACUGUAUGCUUCUUCAUGGACAGCUUCAGAAAGAGAAUUUACGUUUGUUACAGUACCCCAGAAGUACAGAGAUUCUACCAGCAUGUGACUUUGGUCUAAUCUAUCACAAGGUUAAUUUGGAUUUAUGUUUCCUUUCAACUGUUCAGUUUGGAAGCUCAACGUGCCCUUUUCACACACACAGAAAAAAAAAAGAUGGCAGGAAUUUGGGCUCAGCAGUUUUAACAGAACAGCUCUAUUAAGACAUACCUCUGUAU